rnacentral:rRNA from 1 species
GUUGACCUCGAAUCAGGUAGGACUACCCGCUGACCUUAAGCAUUAAAAACGGGGGAA